GGUUUCCCAAUUUGUCCUUCUAGAUUUCCAACUCCCUCUUGCCCUCUAAGUGUAUCAGAGCUGGCGAAGAAGGUGGUUUGUGGAAUCAAAACAAGUUUCGGUGUAGCCCAAACAAAGCUAAGCCACGUUGAUUUCGAUGAAGAAGUUAGGAGGAUUUUAGCCACCUUUCCUGUCGAAUACAAUAACGACAGGAUCUAUCUCCCCUCAGAUGAAGCCGCCCCAAAUGCAGAGACGUUGAGGCAAGUCGAGAAGCUUAGGUUGGAAAUCGAUGCACUUAAACGGGAGAGAGACUCAAUUCAGGCUGAGCAAGGACAAAUCCCAGAGCAAUAAAAGGGAGCAAAACAGGUAAAAUGAUGAGUAACCUCGCUUGCUUCUGGAUCUGGCACGGAGUUCACUGCUUCAUAAAAGCUUCUUUUAGAUUUUUUUUCCUUCCUAUGAUGACUACAAUUUUUCUACUCCCUGCUUUCUGAAAUACACAGGCUUUGUUCCCUAUGAUAGACUGAGAGAAUGAUGCCAGAAAUGAUCAUUUAAAAGGCCUUGGGUCAUAAAUGUUGAAUGGUAUCUACUUGUGACUUAUGUGGCUUAGCUGAAGAAAGCUAUU